AGUGAACGCUGGCGGUAGGCCUAACACAUGCAAGUCGAACGGCAGCACAGGAGAGCUUGCUCUCUGGGUGGCGAGUGGCGGACGGGUGAGGAAUACAUCGGAAUCUACUCUGUCGUGGGGGAUAACGUAGGGAAACUUACGCUAAUACCGCAUACGACCUACGGGUGAAAGCAGGGGACCUUCGGGCCUUGCGCGAUUGAAUGAGCCGAUGUCGGAUUAGCUAGUUGGCGGGGUAAAGGCCCACCAAGGCGACGAUCCGUAGCUGGUCUGAGAGGAUGAUCAGCCACACUGGAACUGAGACACGGUACAGACUCCUACGGGAGGUCACAGUGGUGAAUAUUGGACAAUGGGCGCAAGCCUGUUCCAGCCAUACCGCGUGGGUGAAGAAGGCCUUCGGGUUGUAAAGCCCUUUUGUUGGGAAAGAAAUCCAGCUGGCUAAUACCCGGUUGGGAUGACGGUACCCAAAGAAUAAGCACCGGCUAACUUCGUGCCAGCCGCCGCCGUAA
rnacentral:rRNA from 1 species